rnacentral:lncRNA from 1 species
AGCCUCUGAUGCAACUACCAACCCUUCUCCAUCUUCACCUCCUACCACCAAUGAGCCGAGAAUCUAGAUGGCGUUGCUGACUUUCUGUUAGCUUUUUUUUCUGGGAAAUUGAAGACAUAACAGUUAGAAUCUUUUUUGUGUUAUGUCUGUUAGUUUUCACAUAUCGGUUUCAUAUUCUGUUUCUACUAAAUGAAUGCUUUGUUUCCAUUAUGUUCCAAGUGUUUCAGUUUAUUUUUAUGCUGUUAUAGAUUUAAAAAAUCAAUCUA